rnacentral:rRNA from 1 species
AGCGUAGACGGCGAAGCAAGUCUGAAGUGAAAACCCAGGGCUCAACCCUGGGACUGCUUUGGAAACUGUUUUGCUAGAGUGUCGGAGAGGUAAGUGGAAUUCCUAGUGUAGCGGUGAAAUGCGUAGAUAUUAGGAGGAACACCAGUGGCGAAGGCGGCUUACUGGACGAUAACUGACGUUGAGGCUCGAAAGCGUGGGGAGGCAAAACA